rnacentral:lncRNA from 1 species
AAGAUUAACCACCUAUAAAGGUGCGUGAAAACUAUUACUCCAUAUUUCAAUUUUAAAACAUUGCAUCAUUUAGUCUACAUAUACUUUGCAUAAAUAAAGUUAAUCAAUUGUAGAGCAUAGUCGUAAUUAGGAUAGAAUAACUAGGAAUAACAUUCCAUUUAUAUCCAUCGAGAUUGAUUGGAUCCCUUAAACUUUAAGUCCAUAGUUCUUUCUUUAUUCUCUAAGUUUCAAGUCUUCAAAUUGUGUUUUUGUUUUAAGACGCAUCUAAGUAGCUAAUUGUUUCUAGAU